rnacentral:rRNA from 1 species
AUACAGAGGGUGCAAGCGUUAAUCGGAAUUACUGGACGUAAAGCGCGCGUAGGUGGUUAGUUAAGUUGGAUGUGAAAGCCCUGGGCUCAACCUGGGAAUGGCAUUCAAAACUGGCUGACUAGAGUAUGGUAGAGGGAAGGGGAAUUCCAGGUGUAGCGGUGAAAUGCGUAGAUAUCUGGAGGAACAUCAGUGGCGAAGGCGCCUUCCUGGACUAAUACUGACACUGAGGUGCGAAAGCGUGGGUAGCAAACAGGAUUAGAAACCCCUGUAGUCC